AUCCCCGCGAAACACCCGCGGACGGCGACGGCGACGACGUCGUGGGAUCUGGCCUGGACCUCUGGAUUGCCUCCGCCGUGGUCCGUGUCGGUGGAGCUGCGCCCGUGGUUGGUCGAUUUUGUGCCUGCCACAGCUUCCGGUUGGGGCUAAAUUUCCCCAUAGGUUCGAGUUUCAACUCGGGAGGGUGAAUAUGCUAUUUGUGAUAUCCAAUUUUUCAUCGCAUGGAUGAAUUCUGAAGAUUUGGUUGUAUAUAAGUCAAGAUAGUAAGGGACAUUGAUUUGUUUCCACAAUCAAUAUGGGGGCUAAUUGUUGCAUAGCUGCAAGCAGAGGCCUGAGCCAUCAGUAGCUUCAGUUGAAGUUUUGGCAUACAGGACAAGACACUCGCCGUCAUGGAGCUUCCGGUGGGGACAACCGCACACACAUAGAGGAUAUAAUGGAAAACGCUGCACUGUUUUCCAAUCACAGUAGUGGAAACGUUCGGCCAGAACUAAAGAGUGGUUCCAUUGCACCAACCGAAGGCCAUCCCAAUGAGGACAAUCUUUCUGAUGUACUCCGCGGGUCAAAUGGCAAAAACCUGACAAGAAGAUGAAGCAUCCAAACAUUCUAAAGCUGGUUCUCAAGCCGUUCAAUCUACAGCGAGCAAUUCACUUCCUGAGGCAAAGUCCUGCAAAUCAUCACAUAUGGUAAAUGUUGCUUCAGACAUCAAGACAUCAAAAUCCCUUCCUUCAACGCCACCCAUAGUAUCCAGAUCAGAUCCUUCAUCCUCUAGGUGUCAUUCUCUUCACGUGGACUCAUUCUCAAUGAGGAAAGCACGUCGAUCACCUGGACAUCAACUAUGUAGACAGAUCUCGGACAGCAAGAUCCCAUCUCUCAAGUCCUUCAGUGAGAGUAGCUAUGCAGGAGGAAGGCCGUCGAGUUCAAUGCUCUCGACCUGCAGUAAUGAUCCAUUUGGAGGAGGAUCACAACAUGGGGGAUCAUCGGAUGGGUGGUCAACUCGCACAUUUCUGACUUAGUGGCCUCAUCUCAAAGAGAGAGGUGGUCAGUUGAAAGUGAGCUCUUUGGCUCCAUCAGCAGUAAAAUAGCUAGAUCAAAUGAUUCACAUGCAACUGUUCUCUCUCCUGACGAGGGGAUAUGCAAGCUCUGUUCAAAGCUAUUGAAGGAACGGUCUACAUGGAGUUCUCAUGAUCUGGGAGUAGUAGCUGUUCUAUUCUGUGGUCAUGCAUACCAUGCAAACUGUUUGGAUAGUACUACUUCAGAGAGUGAGAAAUAUGAUCCUCCAUGUCCUGUAUGCACCCAUGGUGAGAAAGGUGCAGCAAAGCUAUUUGUAAGCUGGACUCAAAGAGUAAGAGCAGGAAAUCUAAAAAUGUGAUGUCAGAUACUGAUAUAGAUAGGAGCUCUAAGCACAAGAAGAGAAGUAUGAGGGAACCCAGGUUAGGCACAAGUUCUAGCAUGAAGGAUUCAUUUCGUCGACCAUUUUUAAAGAGGCAUUUUUCAAUUGGUUCUCGACCGCCAAGAUCACUCCUAGGGAGUGAGCCAACAGGAAAGAAAAGCUUCUGGGCAAGACACUGGAGAGAAUAGCCGGCUACACAUCAUCAACGUGGAAAUCAUUUCAUGGUGUGAGCGAGCAAGGAUAGAAGUGAAGCUACAUAUUUUUAUGUUUCGGUACUAUUCAUUAAAGCACACUUUGUGCUGAACAAAUCUAGUGAGACUAGAAAUCUUCUUAUACCUGCAACUGAGGAUUGUUGCGGUCUAACUUUAUUCCUAGGCAAUGUAAUAGAAUAGAAAAUGGGAAUAGUCUCCCAGGGCGGAUUUAAAGGUUUAAAUCUGCUAUGCUAUAUUGUUAUCUUUCCAUUUUCUUUUGUAAUCAUUAUUUGCCAGUUAGUAUGCAUAAUUUGGAUACUAGCAUCCAGAUAGUUCUCUUCACAGGAACAUGAGUAUUUUGGGACUAUAGCUCAGAAGGAUUUCAGACUGAAAGAAGCAGGAGUUCAAAUAUUAUAGCUCAUCUGGCGAUUCAAAUGUACUAGUAGAUUUUACAAGAUGUGCAAGUGGAACCAAGUGCUGAAUGGUUAAUCUGAGGAUUAUUGUCUUGAA